UACGUAGGGUGCGAGCGUUGUCCGGAAUUAUUGGGCGUAAAGAGCUCGUAGGCGGCUUGUUGAGUCGGAUGUGAAAGCCCGGGGCUUAACUCCGGGUCGGCAUUCGAUACGGGCAGGCUAGAGUUCGGUAGGGGAGAUCGGAAUUCCUGGUGUAGCGGUGAAAUGCGUAGAUAUCUGGAGGAACACCGGUGGCGAAGGCGGCGUUCUGGACUGCAACUGACACUGAAAAACGAAAGCCAGGGGAGCAAACGGG
rnacentral:rRNA from 1 species